AUAGAGCGCAAACCUACGCCGAGGAAACACCAACAUCUUCUCAACGAUUAGUCAGAGACGAUUUUUAAAAUGAAAAGAUUUGAAGUAAACUCGACUGCUCUCACAAACAAGGAUACUAAAAAUGAACCCGACCACUGUCAAAUAGAUAGGAAGAGUUGGAGAAAGAG